ensembl:lncRNA
AAUUGUUAUCAAUAUAUAGGUUGAAGGAUGUUCUUAAAAUUUCAUCCUUGUGAGUGCCUAUCCCUCCAAGGUGAGACAGUAAAAAUUUGAUAUUAUUUUGUUUGCCUUCUUUAGAAAUCCAGCAAUUAAUGGGAGACAAAUGCAGUAGAGCUGAAUGUUGUCAACCUGUACCGAUGAAUCAGCCAAGGGACACACCUGCUAAUUUGCCCAUUUCUUAGAUAGGAAAGUUUAAAUUCACAACUAGAAGAUCCUGGACCAAAUUCUAGUGGAAAUCUUGGGAAAGAUGAAAGGAAUUUACCAAUGUCUGUCUGUAUGAUCUUGGGGCUGCUGGGAAUCCUAAGGUUGAAUCCAGAUCUUGCAUGUGACUGCUUGUGUGACCUUCAGAGAACUGCUUAGACUGAUCCUCAGUUUCACCAUCUAGAGGGUUUUGCUGAGCUGGUGUCUUGAACCAGGAAGGCUGGCCGUGUGCCUAUAGAGGAGGAGAUGGAAGCAGAACUAUUUUGGCAAGAGAACCAACAGGACCUGUUGAUAUCGUGGAGGAAGAGAAGAGACCUUUGUGCAUAGAAGACAUUCGAUACCUGUUGGGUGUAAGUUUCAGCAAAGAAUAAGGUGGUUUGAAAAACAG